rnacentral:rRNA from 2 species
CGGAGGAAGGUGGGGACGACGUCAGAUCAUCAUGCCCCUUAUGACCUGGGCUACACACGUGCUACAAUGGACGGUACAACGAGUCGCAAGCUCGCGAGAGUAAGCUAAUCUCUUAAAGCCGUUCUCAGUUCGGACUGUAGGCUGCAACUCGCCUACACGAAGUCGGAAUCGCUAGUAAUCGCGGAUCAGCAUGCCGCGGUGAAUACGUUCCCGGGCCUUGUACACACCGCCCGUCACACCAUGGGAGUUUGUAACGCCCAAAGUCGGUGGCCUAACCAUUAUGGAGGGAGCCGCCUAAGGCGGGACAGAUGACUGGGGUGAAGUCGUAACAAGGUAGCCGUAGGAGAACCUGCGGCUGGAUCACCUCCUUUCUAAGGAA